CCUACGGGGGGCUGCAGUCGAGAAUCUUCGGCAAUGGGCGCAAGCCUGACCGAGCGACGCCGCGUGCGGGAUGAAGGCCUUCGGGUUGUAAACCGCUGUCAGAGGGGAGGAAAUGCAUGGGAGUUCUCUCUCGUGUUUGACCUAUCCUCAGAGGAAGUACGGGCUAAGUUCGUGCCAGCAGCCGCGGUAAUACGAACCGUGCGAACGUUAUGCGGAUUCAGUGGGUUGGAAGCGUGCAUAGGCGGCUGGGAAAUCCCGCGGCUCAACCGAGGAAUUGCGCCCAAAACUACCUGGCUUGAGGAAGAUAGAGGUAAGCGGAACUAAUGGUGGAGCGGUGAAAUGCGUUGAUAUCAUUAGGAACACCUGUGGCGAAAGCAGCUUACUGGGUCUUAUCUGACGCUGAGGCACGAAAGCUAGGGGAGCGAACGGGAUUAGAUACCCCGGUAGUC
rnacentral:rRNA from 1 species